rnacentral:rRNA from 1 species
AUUGAACGCUGGCGGCAGGCCUAACACAUGCAAGUCGAACGGCAGCACAGAAGAGCUUGCUCUUUGGGUGGCGAGUGGCGGACGGGUGAGUAAUGUCUGGGAAACUGCCCGAUGGAGGGGGAUAACUACUGGAAACGGUAGCUAAUACCGCAUAACGUCGCGAGACCAAAGUGGGGGACCUUCGGGCCUCACACCAUCGGAUGUGCCCAGAUGGGAUUAGCUAGUAGGUGGGGUAAUGGCUCACCUAGGCGACGAUCCCUAGCUGGUCUGAGAGGAUGACCAGCCACACUGGAACUGAGCCACGGUCCAGACUCCGACGGGAGGCAGCAGUGGGGGAUAUUGCCCAAUGGGCGCAAGCCUGAUGCAGCCAUGCCGCGUGUAUGAAGAAGGCCUUCGGGUUGUAAAGUACUUUCAGCGGGGAGGAAGGCGGUGAGGUUAAUAGCCUCGCCGAUUGACGUUACCCGCAGAAGAAGCACCGGCUAACUCCGUGCCAGCCGCCGCUGUAA